CCUACGGGAGGCAGCAGUGGGGAAUAUUGGGCAAUGGGCGCAAGCCUGACCCAGCAACGCCGCGUGAAGGAAGAAGGCUUUCGGGUUGUAAACUUCUGUUGACAGGGAAGAGGAGAAGACGGUACCUGUCGAAUAAGCCACGGCUAACGCCGUGACAGCAGACGCGGUAAGACGGAGGUGGCAAGCGUUGUCCGGAUUUACUGGGUGGAAAGGGCGGGUAGCCGGGUUGACAAGUCAGAUGUGCAAUCCUGCGGCUUAACCGCAGAACUGCAUUUGAAACUGUUGAUCUUGAGUACUGGAGAGGCAGCCGGAAUUCCUAGUGUAGCGGUGAAAUGCGUAGAUAUUAGGAGGAACACCAGUGGCGAAGGCGGUCUGCUGGACAGCAACUGACGGUGAGGCGCGAAAGCGUGGGGAGCAAACAGGAUUAGAUACCCCUGUAGUC
rnacentral:rRNA from 1 species